GGAGAGAUGUCCGAGAGGUCGAAGGUGGUGGUCUCGAAAACCAUUAUACAGUAACAACUGUAUCGAGGGUUCAAAUCCCUCUCUCUCCG
rnacentral:tRNA from 1 species